UACGAGGGGGGCAAGCGUUAAUCGGAAUUACUGGGCGUAAAGCGUGCGCAGGCGGUUUGUUAAGUCCGCUGUGAAAUCCCCGAGCUCAACUUGGGAAUUGCAGUGGAUACUGGCAAGCUGGAGUAUGGUAGAGGAAGGUGGAAUUCCCGGUGUAGCAGUGAAAUGCGUAGAGAUCGGGAGGAACACCAGUGGCGAAGGCGGCCUUCUGGACCAAUACUGACGCUCAUGCACGAAAGCGUGGGGAGCAAACAGG
rnacentral:rRNA from 1 species